CCCUUAGAUGUCCUGGGCCGCACGCGUGCUACACUGACACUUGCAACGAGUACUUUGCUUUACCGAAAGGUAAUGCUAAUCAUCAAUAAGUGUCGUGAUGGGGAUAGAUCUUUGGAAUUAUGGAUCUUGAACGAGGAAUGCCUAGUAAGCGUAGGUCAUUAGCCUACGCUGAUUAAGUCCCUGCCCUUUGUACACACCGCCCGUCGCUCCUACCGAUUUCGAGUGGUCCGGUGAAACUUUUGGACCGUGCGACUUUAUUGUUGUCACGGAAAGUCAGUUAAACCAUACUACUUAGAGGAAGGAGAANUCGUANCA
rnacentral:rRNA from 1 species